GUGCUCGAGUGGCGAACGGGUGAGUAACACGUGAGUAACCUGCCCUUGACUUUGGGAUAACUUCAGGAAACUGGGGCUAAUACCGGAUAGGAGCGUCCUGCUGCAUGGUGGGGGUUGGAAAGUUUCGGCGGUUGGGGAUGGACUCGCGGCUUAUCAGCUUGUUGGUGGGGUAGUGGCUUACCAAGGCUUUGACGGGUAGCCGGCCUGAGGGGGUGACCGGCCACAUUGGGACUGAGAUACGGCCCAG
rnacentral:rRNA from 1 species